GGCAUAGCGCUUCAUCAAUUAACAAAAUGUUAUCUAAUAAUAAAUCUAAACAGCAAACACGCCAAAAAAAACCAUAAAGUAAAAUGAUGCAUAAAAAUAAAAAGGUUAUGGAAACUAGAUAUUUAAAAAUUAGAUUGAUACAAUCGUUACCCGAGUGUUUUAAUCAUUCAAAAGGUUUCCGAAAAUAAAAUAUAACAAAAUAAAAUGUUGCUACCAUCUGUUACGUAUGUGUUGAUACAAAUGUCUGCGUGGAAUAUAUAUCCGAUUUCUAAAUCACAGUGUAUUUUAUAAAACUUAAAUUCAUACUGCGGUUAUUAAACGAGAAAACCAUUCCAGUUGUGAAAUUUUGCAGUACUUGACAAUCCUUUUAAUAUCUUUUUCCGUGUGACUUCAAAUAUUCAUUUUCCUUAUUUAUUAUUACUAGUAUAUUAUGUGAUUGUAUAAGUUAUAAAGCUUCGAAG
rnacentral:lncRNA from 1 species